rnacentral:lncRNA from 1 species
GCCGGGCCCCGCGCCCUCGGCCGCCGCGCAGGGUCUGGACGCGCGCCGCGGCUCCCUAGCCGGCCGGCCGACGCUCGGGGCGUACUCACAAUGAGCGGGAUGGUGCGGUCCUCGCGGAGCUGCUCCGACCUCCUGCCUGCCCUCUGCGCGCCCCGGCCGCCGGAGGAUGCUGCGUGGGCUCGGUUGUCCUGCCAUAAGUAGUAGAAAGUGCCCAGGAUCCAGGCUACGGUCAGGAUGGCGAUGGCAUUGGCGCGGAUCUUCCUCAUGGUGGGCAGACGGGCGCCCCAGGAAUGGACUCCAGCAGCAUCACAGAAUCAAAGCAACACCUAAGGAAUUCACUGUUUCUUCACAUACUUUGAACUGUGAAAACAAGAGUCAUCAUAAUAGCUGCAGUUUACUCAGUACCUACCAGGUACUGUCACCUAUACUGUCUCUAAAGCCCCUACAACCCUGAGCUAAGGAUGAUCAUAUCCCCAACUGCAGAUGAUGACACUGAAGCUCAACGGCUACUCAACUUGCCUGGAAUCCUACAGCAAGCCUCUCUGCAGCUCAGUGCCUAGGGGAAGAGGAGCCCAGUGACUGAGCUGGAGUCACACGCUGGAAGCUGCCUUCAGACCAGACCCUCCCUAAGGGUCCCUCUCUAGCCAGGCUGGCCAACAGCCUUGCUCCCCCGGCUGCCCCAUGGGCCUGGAGGGGUUCUGUGGGUGCACACCCGCUGCUGGCUACCCCUGCCGCCGGCACUCAUCUGAGCUGUCGAGCUGUGUAGGGAUUCCAUUCAGAGUGCUCCAGUAAGGGACUGGCCCCAUAGCUCCAGCAGCAGAUGGGCAAAGAGGCCUAAGAAUUCAGCAAAAGGGGAAGUACAUCCAGCCUUAAAUUCUCCAGGCUGUGCCAUCCCCUUUCAAAUGCAGACUGCCUUUGUUUGUUUUCUACUACUAAUAUAACAUGAGGACAGGCUCAUAAAAAAUAAUAAAAGGGCAAGAGAUGAGUAGGAGACAGGGUCCUCACAGAUCCCUUUGUUCCUGGCCUUAUCCCCAAACUGCUUGCCUCCAUGUGGCAGAGCUGAGCUGCAGGGUCUCUGGCAGGGUCCCACUGCCCUGGUCUCCCCAGUGCCUGCUCCUCAUCAACUUUCCCUCAUGACAUCCAGCCUCCACCUGACCUUCCUCUUUUGAUUCUAACCUUUAAUGGGUGCUGGCCCAUCACUUGUGUGUCCUAUGUUCUCUAUGCCCCUCCUCAGAUUUCUGAUCCCCCCCAUUACCUGUUUCACCGACUUAUGGCACUGCCACACUGCCAAGAAUAGCCAUCAUCACUGAGGUCUGCUUCCUAGUCUGGAGCUCUCACUUGCCCCACAACCGAGAUUGUUCGAGGUAGGAGCCUCUACCGUCCAUUCACAUACCCCAUACCCUACAUCUUUCCAGAAUCAACACAGCCAAUCUCCCCUUAGCAAGUAAAAAAUAUUCAUGUCCUUCCUUUGUAUGACCCCUUACUGGGAAUCCAGAGAUCAUGAUGCUUAGGUCUUGUAAGUGGUCUCCGUGGAUAGGGUGGGAAGAGGCCACAUUGGUCUUCUGAAGUCCUAACUCUCUUUGCUAAAAGAUACUCUUUUGAAAAUGGCUCUGCACGCUGCCCAUGCUCAAUCUGGGGUGUCCUGGCUGUGCUGGAGCACUGACUGCUGACCUCACAUUGCAGGCCCCAGUGUUUGCCACUGCAAUGAGCAGCCUCUCCUGCCUCCCCAGCUGCACACAGGCCCAGGUGGGGCUGGGCUGUCCCCAAGCAGGCCACGGGAAGGUGGAGGCAAGAAGAUCAUCGGGAAGCCAUGACAGUCAGACAAGCAGCAGCAGAUGGGGAUGUGCACUGGGUGGAGUGGACAAAUAGCACGAGGAAAAUCAGCUUUGGGGACAGAAAAAGCCAAGUGGGAAGUGUAAUAAAUACUAAAACCAGAAAAGCCUGAAGACAGUCCAUCUAGGGAGCAGCAGGAGGAUGGCUAACAUCACUGGAGUUUAGGUCGAAGGGGAGGACAGCAGGAGGGGUCGAGGUGGUCAGUAUUCCAGGGGCUAGGGACAAGAGAAAUGGCACAACAUAAGUCUCUCGGGAAGGGUCACUCACCUUCCAAGCUGUUGGACUCAUUGGCUGCCACAAGAAGAAUCUAUUUAAAACACACCAGGCAUUUUGCCUCAUUCUGUUUCCCUGCCCAGAAAAGGCUGGAGCCGAAGGCUGAGGGAGAGGGAAGGAUUCCAGCAUCAGGACCCUGCAUGGAUGACAUGGCUGAGACCAUUCAGGAUGGGGAAGAUCCCUGCUCCAUCCUGAAUGACCCACACUUACAUCCCCCACCCCCACCUAAGCUGCCAGGCCACUAAACUCCUCGCAUAUUGAACACAGUCCCAAAGGCAGCUUGUGGUACCAUUUCCACUGGGAAAUACUCAAUGGCUUCCUUCAUCCUGUUUUCAAGCUUGUCAGAAAGCAGAUGCUGCUCAAAUCUGACAGCUGCUCUUAAGGGCACGCUCAAAGGGCACUCCCUGACCAGUGGGAAUAUUCUUAAUGAUGACUGAGAGGCCUUGGGUGUUUAGACUAUGGCAAGACAAAGGAGCGAGCAUGAAAGGGCAUCAAGGGUAAAAUGGCCCUAGGGAAACCAUACGGGACUUGAAUUGGAAAACACCAACAGCCUCGCUCCUUUCUCUGGACUGUGUAUCUUUGGGAAGUUCUAAUUUGGAGAAGACCUGACUCCUUAUCCACCUGCCACAGAGAAAGUAUUAAUAAAAUAUGAGGCUAGGGUCUAUGAGAAGUGGCCCAGGAAAGCCAUCUAUGCAAAUUUUGUUUCCUUCCUACUUGAGAGGGUUGGGGAUGAGAGGUCCUUCCUUCCCUGGCUCAUAAGCCCAUGAGUUGUGUAAAACACUGUUCAAGAAGGCAGAAUAUAAGCCCUCUGUUGUGCAUGAUAUUCAUAUUCUUGAAAGAAUUAGUGUAUAAAUCAAAUUUUACCUGCCAGAGAAGCUGGCUUUUCAAAAUAAAUUUGAAGUCAAUCCUAUGUUUAAACAGAAGGAUGGCUUGUAAAGGUGAAUAACCAUCCUAGGUCACAAUUUGCAAAUUGGGAACUCUGAAUGUCUGACUUGGAUGGUGGGGCAGGGGGUUCUGUCUAGAGAUUAAUCUAUGGUUUGCUUUUAGGUUGCAACUAAGCAUUACUUUAAAACAAACAAAAGACUGAGUUUUUAAAGAACAUUUUUAAUGGAAAAUUUCAAAUAUAUAUAUAUAUAUAUAUAGAGAGAGAGGGGGCCCACUAUGAUAAACACACAGCUUCAGUGAUUCUCAACCCAUGGCCAAUCCUGUGAGAAACAUGAACUUUUGAACCAGCUGACAGAUAUAGAGGAUGAACUUCGUGGUACAGAACAAAAAGAAGUAGUCCUACUCAGGCUGCAGUAUCCAAAACGUUUCUGCAUAAAUGCCCUAAACUAGAGCCUAAAGUGUGAAACAAAGGGGUGGAGAAUAUUAUUGGUUCGCGACCAAAUAAGAAACCUGGGAAUUAAAACACAAAACAAAACCACACACACAUACAAUCUCUCUGAGGGAUGCAAAUUAAUAGUAACACUGGUUGCCUUCAAGGAGGGCAGAAAGACUGGAGCGAUUUUCAUUAUAUGUUUUUUAAAAAUUUUAUACUAUGUGCACAUUUUACCUAUUUUUAAAAAUUAACUUACUAAAAACAAACAUGAAGCUUUGCAAUAACCAAAUCCACUAGAUGUGACAAAAGGGAAAACUGUCUGGACUCAAUAUAUAAGAGGACUUAUAUUCUGCCUUACUGAACAGUGUUUUACACAACUCAUGGGCUUAUGAGCCAGGGAAGGACGGACCUCUCAUCCCCAACCCUCUCAAGUAGGAAGGAAACAAAAUUUGCAUGGAUGGCUUUCCUGGGCCACUUCUCCUACACCCUAGCCUUAUAUUCUAUUAAUACUUUCUCUGUGGCAGGUGGAUCUUCAUCACAUUUUGAUCUGGAUUUACUGUUUUAUAGUAAUUUUCUCAGCUAGAAGAAUGCACAACCUUCCAAUCCCAAAACGUACAUCAUUAGAAUAGGUGCUUCACAAAAUAUUAAAAACACCAGCCCCUGGUGGUUAUAUGGAUAUAUGCAUUUGUCAAAAUUCAUUGAGUUGUAUUCUUAGAUGUGUGCACUUUAUCAUAUGUUACUUAUAC